UACAGAGGUCCCAAGCGUUGUUCGGAUUCACUGGGCGUAAAGGGUGCGUAGGCGGUCGGGUAAGUCUGACGUGAAAUCUCCGGGCCUAACCCGGAAACUGCGUUGGAAACUGCCUGGCUAGAGGAAUGGAGGGGAGACUGGAAUACUUGGUGUAGCAGUGAAAUGCGUAGAUAUCAAGUGGAACACCAGUGGCGAAGGCGAGUCUCUGGACAUUUCCUGACGCUGAGGCACGAAAGCCAGGGGAGCAAACGG
rnacentral:rRNA from 1 species